rnacentral:rRNA from 1 species
UUUAUGUGGGAAGAGCAAGGACGGUACCACAGGAAGAAGCCCCGGCUAAUUACGUGCCAGCAGCCGCGGUAAUACGUAGGGGGCGAGCGUUGUCCGGAGUUACUGGGCGUAAAGGGCAUGCAGGCGGUCGGACGCGUUUUGUGUGACAGCGGGCGGCUUAACUACCCGAGUAUGCGAAAGACGGUUCGACUUGAGGGCUCGAGAGGGACACGGAAUUCCGGGUGGAGUGGUGAAAUGCGUAGAGAUCCGGAGGAACACCGAAGGCGAAGGCAGUGUCCUGGCGAGCGACUGACGCUGAGGUGCGAAAGCUAGGGGAGCGAACGGGAUUAGAUACCCCGGUAGUCCUAGCCGUAAACGAUGACCACCAGGUGUGGGAGGUAUCGACCCCUUCCGUGCCGGAGUAAACACACUAAGUGGUCCGCCUGGGGAGUACGGUCGCAAGAUUAAAACUCAAAGGAAUUGACG